AUAUUCCACAUUUCCACCUUCACGGCUCUAUGUAGUCUCUACCCAUUUCAUUUUCCACUAACAUGCGCAACAAGCAAUGAAUGAAGCAAAAGCAAAAAGGAAAGGAAAUGAAAUGUAGAAGCAUCCUCCUCCCUUCUAGUUCUGCCGUCACUCGCCUCCUAAGUCCUAUCCUAAUCCCUAUGCUCUCAGUUUCUCUCACCUCCCUCUAACAUGCGCCCCAUUUUCUCUCUCCUCCCCAACAGUAGCACCUCCAUGAUGCCUCCUCCUCCUCAUCAUCAUCAUUCUCUCUCCUCCAAACCCCGCAAAUCAUCAUCAUCAUCAUCUUCUUCUUCUUCUUCCUCCUCGUUGUUCUGCCGGCACCACUCUCCUUCCGCUACAUCAACCCUAGAUCUUCUAAUCCUAAUCCUAGUCCUAUUCUCCGGUACCUUCCUCUUAACCUCUUACUUCUCAUACAUCUUCAACUCUCUCUCUCUCCUCCUCAAUCAUCAUCAUCAUCAAUUCCCACUCCUCUACCUCUUUGCCUUCUUUCUUGCUUUCGCUCUUGCUCUCGCCUUCUCCUUCGAUGUCUGUUCAUUUCAUGUCUUCGGUGUUCGAUCGCGUAAAUGUUCAAACCCUAAGUGUAAAGGGUUGAGGAAAGCUAUGGAGUUUGAUUUGCAGUUGCAGACUGAGGAUUCUAUUAAAUUAGGUCCUAAUUUUAUUGAUUCUUUGCCUUGGAAAGGUGGCACUGAGACUAAUCCUGAUUAUGACUGUCUUCGUGCGGAGUUGAGGAAGAUGGCUCCUCCUAAUGGUCGCGCUGUUCUUCUUUUUCGGGCUAAGUGUGGUUGUCCUAUUGCUAAAUUGCUCGCUUCUGGUCCUAAGAAAGGCAGGAAGCAUAAAAAAAGGAUUUGAUGCAUUAUAAUACUUAGUGCUGGAGUGAUCACUUGAGGGCAGUAUGGGGCUGCUUAAGGAGGAGUUAUAGUAGACUCUCAUUUGGCAAAAUGGUGCACAAGGGAAGUGGUCGGUUGCUGCUUGGUUUUGGAUAGCUAUCUGAUUUUUAAGGUUGAUGUACAUAGACCCGGUGGUGUUUAAAAUGACUCGUGGGCAUCUGGUUACUGACUGGAGAUUUUUAUCUGUCUGAUUAUGGUACUUUAACUAGCCUUUACAGUGUGGUGUGAGUUUAGCUCAGGCAUUUGAUGCAGCAAUUAGGAGAAGAUUUGGCAAAUGGGCUUUUGUUCUGUUUCUUGUUGCAUAGGGUUGAAAGUAAGAGCCUCAAUGGUAAAUCACAGACUUGACUGAAGGUCUAUAGUUUUUGUCAUACGCAUGGAAUUGGGCAGAGAGGAUACAAUACAUACCUCCCUUUCUGUUUAUGGAGUGCCUCUUCAUUCUACUCUGUGGAUGUUGAUGAUUAAAUAUGUAAUAAUUUCUUUCAGUUGUUUGCACCAGUUACAGUGAUCCCCUGGUGUCUUCAUAACCUUUGGUUUGAAAUCGAUGUUUUGCUUGAAAUAAUUUGUUAAUGUUUGUUUCCUCAACGAUCUAAAAAGUGUUAUCUCAUUCUAAUUUCUGCUUCUACCUCCCAUGUUUGCUUCUUGUCAACUUCAUUAAUAUCCAAGAAUUUCAGUAAUAGCUCUUUCUUUCUGAUGGUAACUAUCCACUUUAUUUUACAGAAUUCUUGCUGUAGAGACGUUCUUCUGUUAUUGUUAUUCUACAUAUUAGUUGAAUUUAUAAGAUUCCUAUUUAUAUGUUUUGAUCUUUUGUCCAGCUGUUUUUUCAAGUAAUAAUGAAUCCUUUUGUCUUGCCAAUCACUGUAUCCACUAAGGCUCUCUUCGGUGCAAAACAAAACAAGACAGACAAAGAGGGGCAAUUUUUGACACCCCUUCUUGAGGUUCAAUUUUUUGAGUUGAAAAUUUUAGAGGUCCCAAAGAUGAUGUUUUUAAGAUGCAAUCUUUAUUUUUGGUGUUUAAUCAGGUAGAGACACUAUAUGCUAAGCAACUUCUAGAUGAUGUGCUUGUGCAUCAGGGUGUUGUAACCAUAAUGUUUAAUCAGAGGUUCAGAGAAUACAAUCAAGCAAAAUUGUGAUUGAAUGUUGAAGUGGUUGUUGGAAGACAUGGCGUCAAGAGUUUGGGAUGAUGGCAUAAUGAACAUUAUUCAAUUAUUGCAGUCUGGCAGUUGUAUUUAGAAUACAUAUUAGUGCAAUAAGAUUAAGGGGGUGAUGUAUUGCAGAGACCUGGUAUCUUAGUAAAAUAUGAGCUUUGCAUCUUGUCAUGGAUAAAGGGCUGAUAGUUGAGGUUAGGGGUUCGCUGACAACAAUAAGCUCUUGAUGAUUACUGAGUCAAAUUAUGUUUCCUGAUUGGUUCUACACUUAUUCCCAGCCCUUUUAUUGAAUUAUUAUUUUAUAAAUUGGAUUUGUUACCGGAUGUGCUCUUUAUGCAACAUAGAGUCAUGUUACACUGUGUCAAGAAUUGGUCGUAGAAAGGAAAUUUGGGUGUUUUGAGUUAUUGUAUGUGUCAUGCCUAGCGAGGUAUAUGAGACUUUGUAAAGGUUUGCUCUUGCAUCAUAUGGAGUAUAAACAGGUAUUGGUAGAAAGCCUUUUUCCACUAAGAUAUCUCUGGUGAAUGCUGUUAUGGGUUUUGUGUAUCUGUAAUUCUAUAUGGUCUGGUUUUGACUCUAAUAAUGAACUAAGUAUGGCUUUUUAAUGGAUAAGCAUUGAUGGAGGACUUGUUCUCCAAAAUUAUCGUAGCUGUACUUGAUUUUGUUCUAUAAUUUCACUAUAUACCUUGAGAUGUAAGGUUUAUUACUUAUUUAGAAGAUCCUGUAAAAUUGAAAUUGCUACUUUGAUUUAAGGGAAUACACUUGUCAGUCUGGUAGGUUUUCUUGAAUGAGCUUUUGCCUCCACAACUUACUGGAUGAACUUUGUUUCUGGAUGCCUCAGAAUUUGAGCGUUGUUAACUUAUAUAGUAUGUUAUAUAACUGAUAUAGUAUUAUACAUAACUUUUAAUUUAGGGAAACAAAUAUGCAAGUCUAGUAAGCUUUUACUACAAAUUUGGAGAGAUUGGUAAAUUUUAGAUGACUCACCUUUUUAGCACCACUAUAGUGCACCUGCCUAGUGUCUAAAAGGCAAAUUAGGCAUUAAUUUGUACUAGCCUUGGAUUUGAAAGAGGGUGUUCUUGGUGGUUUGUACAGGUUCUGCUAGUUAGUCGUAUCUGUUUGCUUGUGUGUAUUGACAUGUGCGUGCUUGCAUGUGUCUGUAAACGUGUGUGCUUUGGGGUGAGGUGUCGAGAAGAAUUAGUUGUUUCUGUAUGCAGUUUUUGUAUCCUAGUCUUAUCAUGUGGCUAUUUGCAUGUCUAUGGUCUAUUUGUGUAUAUAUCAUUAAAUUAGAUUCCCUUCUUUAAUUGAACUCUCUUUUUGAGCUUCGAACACUUUUUUUUUCCUAAAAUGUUAUUGAUGUAUAAAGCUGAUUCCAUGAAUCCUUAGUAGGCUUUAUCUAAUGUGACAUCCAAUGGAGAUCAUCGCUGAUAGCCCAUUGGAUGAUGGCUGUGCUCGUACAAAAGUUGAUUUAAUCCUUUCUAUGUUACUAAUCAGCUGGUUUGCUAUUUGGAUGGAAAUUGGAUGUUUAGAGGAUCAAACAUUCCAUUGGAAUUUGCAAACGGCAGCCCUUCCUUCUGGUGCAUUCUCUGUAGAAAUGUUACUGUGGAACUGGAAGGAUAAAUACUGUUUAAAAUUUCUUCUGUUAUUCUGGAUUGUAAUACCAAAUUUAUGCCGAUAAAUAAAUGAGAUUUAUAUUGGAUCUUUUUCCUUAUUA